rnacentral:rRNA from 1 species
UAGAGUUUGAUCCUGGCUCAGGAUGAACGCUAGCGACAGGCUUAACACAUGCAAGUCGAGGGGCAGCGGUGGUGAAGGCUUGCCUUUACCAGCCGGCGACCGGCGCACGGGUGAGUAACACGUAUGCAACCUGCCUGCCACAGCCGGAUAAUCGGGAGAAAUUCCGUCUAAUACGGCAUAAUGCAUCGACGGGACAUCCUGUUGGUGCCAAAGGUUGAUUCCGGUGGCGGAUGGGCAUGCGUCGCAUUAGUUAGUUGGCGGUGUAACGGACCACCAAGACGACGAUGCGUAGGGGUUCUGAGAGGAAGGUCCCCCACACUGGUACUGAGACACGGACCAGACUCCUACGGGAGGCAGCAGUGAGGAAUAUUGGUCAAUGGGCGGGAGCCUGAACCAGCCAAGUCGCGUGAGGGAUGACGGCCCUAUGGGUUGUAAACCUCUUUUGCCGGGGAGCAAAGUGCCGCACGUGUGCGGUUUGGAGAGUACCCGGAGAAAAAGCAUCGGCUAACUCCGUGCCAGCAGCCGCGGUAAUACGGAGGAUGCGAGCGUUAUCCGGAUUUAUUGGGUUUAAAGGGUGCGUAGGCGGACGCUUAAGUCAGCGGUAAAAUUGCGGGGCUCAACCUCGUCGAGCCGUUGAAACUGGGUGCCUUGAGUGGGCGAGAAGUACGCGGAAUGCGUGGUGUAGCGGUGAAAUGCAUAGAUAUCACGCAGAACUCCGAUUGCGAAGGCAGCGUACCGGCGCCCAACUGACGCUGAAGCACGAAGGCGUGGGUAUCGAACAGGAUUAGAUACCCUGGUAGUCCACGCAGUAAACGAUGAAUGCUAGUUGUCCGGGGCGAUUGAGUUCUGGGUGACACAGCGAAAGCGUUAAGCAUUCCACCUGGGGAGUACGCCGGCAACGGUGAAACUCAAAGGAAUUGACGGGGGCCCGCACAAGCGGAGGAACAUGUGGUUUAAUUCGAUGAUACGCGAGGAACCUUACCCGGGCUCAAACGCAGGAGGGAUGUUUUUGAAAGGAGGCAGCCAGCAAUGGUCUCCUGCGAGGUGCUGCAUGGUUGUCGUCAGCUCGUGCCGUGAGGUGUCGGCUUAAGUGCCAUAACGAGCGCAACCCCUACCUACAGUUGCCAUCGCGUGAUGGCGGGCACUCUGUGGGGACUGCCUGCGCAAGCAGUGAGGAAGGCGGGGAUGACGUCAAAUCAGCACGGCCCUUACGUCCGGGGCGACACACGUGUUACAAUGGCAGGUACAGCGGGAAGCCACCCGGCGACGGGGCGCGGAACCCGAAAACCUGUCUCAGUUCGGAUUGGAGUCUGCAACCCGACUCCAUGAAGCUGGAUUCGCUAGUAAUCGCGCAUCAGCCACGGCGCGGUGAAUACGUUCCCGGGCCUUGCACUCACCGCCCGUCAAG